GAUGAACGCUAGCUACAGGCUUAACACAUGCAAGUCGCGGGGUAACAUCUGGGAGAGCUUGCUCUUCCAGGAUGACGACCGGCGCACGGGUGAGUAACGCGUAUCCAACCUGGCCCAUACCACGGGAUAGCCCGUCGAAAGGCGGAUUAAUACCGUAUGCUGUCAUUAAGAUGCAUAUAUUGAUGACGAAAGGACUGGCGGUAUGGGAUGGGGAUGCGUCUGAUUAGCUUGUUGGCGGGGUAACGGCCCACCAAGGCGACGAUCGGUAGGGGUUCUGAGAGGAAGGUCCCCCACAUUGGAACUGAGACACGGUCCAAACUCCUACGGGAGGCAGCAGUGAGGAAUAUUGGUCAAUGGACGUAAGUCUGAACCAGCCAAGUAGCGUGCAGGAUGACGGCCCUAUGGGUUGUAAACUGCUUUUUAUGCGGGGAUAAAGUGUGGGACGUGUCCCAUAUUGCAGGUACUGCAUGAAUAAGGCCGGCUAAUUCCGUGCCAG
rnacentral:rRNA from 1 species